UAACAUGAUGAAUUUAUCUCAUGGAAUCUCGUUCGUCUGAAUUUGUUCUGUUGAGAAUGUAUUACUGAUGUGG